UCGGGAAUUUUGGGCAAUGGCCGAAAGCCUGACCCAGCAACGCCGCGUGAAGGAUGAAGUAUUUCGGUAUGUAAACUUCGUAAGAAUAGGAAGAAUAAAUGACGGUACUAUUUGUAAGGUCCGGCUAACUACGUGCCAGCAGCCGCGGUAAUACGUAGGGACCAAGCGUUGUUCGGAUUUACUGGGCGUAAAGGGCGCGUAGGCGGUGUGUCAAGUCAGUUGUGAAAUCUCCGAGCUUAACUCGGAACGGUCAACUGAUACUGUCACACUAGAGUACAGAAGGGGCAAUCGGAAUUCUUGGUGUAGCGGUGAAAUGCGUAGAUAUCAAGAGGAACACCUGAGGUGAAGACGGGUUGCUGGGCUAACACUGACGCUCAUGCACGAAAGCGUGGGGAGCAAACAGGAUUAGAUACCCCCGUAGUCCCUGAGCGGGCUGGCAAGGCGCAU
rnacentral:rRNA from 1 species